rnacentral:rRNA from 1 species
AGGAAGCAGUCUGCCGAUGGGCGUUCGGAUGGCGGACGGGUGAGUAAUGUCUGGGAAACUGCCUGAUGGAGGGGGAUAACUACUGGAAACGGUAGCUAAUACCGCAUAACGUCGCAAGACCAAAGAGGGGGACCUUCGGGCCUCUUGCCAUCAGAUGUGCCCAGAUGGGAUUAGCUUGUUGGUGGGGUAACGGCUCACCAAGGCGACGAUCCCUAGCUGGUCUGAGAGGAUGACCAGCCACACUGGAACUGAGACACGGUCCAGACUCCUACGGGAGGCAGCAGUGGGGAAUAUUGCACAAUGGGCGCAAGCCUGAUGCAGCCAUGCCGCGUGUAUGAAGAAGGCCUUCGGGUUGUAAAGUACUUUCAGCGGGGAGGAAGGUGUUGUGGUUAAUAACCGCGUCAAUUGACGUUACCCGCAGAAGAAGCACCGGCUAACUCCGUGCCAGCAGCCGCGGUAAUACGGAGGGUGCAAGCGUUAAUCGGAAUUACUGGGCGUAAAGCGCACGCAGGCGGUCUGUUAAGUCAGAUGUGAAAUCCCCGGGCUCAACCUGGGAACUGCAUCUGAUACUGGCAGGCUUGAUUCUCGUAGAGGGGGGUACAAUCCAGGUGUAGCGGUGAAAUGCUUAAAAUCUGGAGGAAUACCGGGUGGGAAAGGCGGCCCCCCUUGGAACCAAAACUUGACGCUCAGUGCAAAGCGUNGGACCACAAACGGGAUUCAAUCCCUGUAUUCCCCCCCCCAAAAACAAUUUNAUAUUUGGNGGUUUUCUCCCUUUAAGGCUGNUCCNUNCCGAACAUACCCAUUACUCACCACCCGGGGGAUUCGCCCGAGGGUUAAACAAAUAAUAUAACGGGGCCCACAAGGGGGGGGAUUUAUUAAACACAAAACCCUCCGUCUNUUACCAAAAUUAAAAAAUAGUGCUCUGCACUGAAAGUGAUGUGUUUCNNUUUAUU